AGAGUUUGAUCCUGGCUCAGAUUGAACGCUGGCGGCAUGCCUAACACAUGCAAGUCGAACGGUAGCAGGCCUUCGGUGCUGACGAGUGGCGGGCGGGUGAGUAAUGCAUCGGAACGUAUCCUUGAGUUGGGGGAGUAACGCAGCGAAAGUUGUGCUAAUACCGCAUAAGCUCUGAGGAGGAAAGCGGGGGACCGAAAGGCCUCGCGCUGAAGGAGCGGCCGAUGUCCGAUUAGCUAGUUGGUGAGGUAAAGGCUUACCAAGGCGACGAUCGGUAGCUGGUCUGAGAGGAUGAUCAGCCACACUGGGACUGAGACACGGCCCAGACUCCUACGGGAGGCGAC
rnacentral:rRNA from 1 species